rnacentral:rRNA from 1 species
AUUGAACGCUGGCGGCAGGCCUAACACAUGCAAGUCGGGCGAGCGGCGGACGGGUGAGUAAUGUAUGGGGACUGCCUGAUGGCGGGGGAUAACUACUGGAAACGGUAGCUAAUACCGCAUACCAUCAGAUAACCCAUAUGGGAUUAGCUAGUAGGUGAGGUAACGGCUUACCUAGGCGACGAUCCCUAGCUGGUCUGAGAGGAUGAUCAUGCAACCGUGGAAUGAAGCACGGUCCAAACACCUACGGGGGCAGCAGUGGGGAAUAUUUGCCAAUAGGCGCAGACCUAGUGCAACCAUGCCGCAUAUUUGAAGAAGGCCUUAGGGUUGUAAAGUACUUUCAUUCGGGAGGCGUUACCGACAGAAGAAGCACCGGCUAACUCCGUGCCAGCCGCCGCGGUAAUAC